ACUCAAAGGAAUAGACGGGGGUCCGCACAAGCAGCGGAGCGUGUGGUUUAAUUCGAUGCAACACGAAGAACCUUACCAAGGCUUGACAUGCUGGAAGUAGCAAACCGAAAGGGGAGCCACCUGUUAAGUCAGGAGCCUGCACAGGUGCUGCAUGGCUGUCGUCAGCUCGUGCCGUGAGGUGUUGGGUUAAGUCCCCCAACGAGCGUAACCCCUAUUGCCAGUUGUUUUCUCUGGCGAGACUGCCUCGCAAAACGGGGAGGAAGGUGGGGAUGACGUCAAGUCAGCACGGCCCUUAUGCCUUGGGCUACACACACGCUACAAUGGUCGGUACAAUAGGUUGCAAUGGAGCGAUUCGGAGCUAAUCCUGAAAGCCGAUCUCAGUUCGGAUCGCAGGCUGAAACCCGCCUGCGUGAAGUCGGAGUUGCUAGUAACCGCGAGUCAGCAAAUUGCGGUGAAUACGUUCUCGGGCCUUGUACACACCGCCCGU
rnacentral:rRNA from 1 species